CUCAGAUUGAACGCUGGCGGCAGGCCUAACACAUGCAAGUCGAGCGGUAGCACAGGGAGCUUGCUCUUGGGUGACGAGCGGCGGACGGGUGAGUAAUGUCUGGGAAACUGCCUGAUGGAGGGGGAUAACUACUGGAAACGGUAGCUAAUACCGCAUAACGUCGCAAGACCAAAGAGGGGGACCUUCGGGCCUCUUGCCAUCAGAUGUGCCCAGAUGGGAUUAGCUAGUAGGUGGGGUAACGGCUCACCUAGGCGACGAUCCCUAGCUGGUCUGAGAGGAUGACCAGCCACACUGGAACUGAGACACGGUCCAGACUCCUACGGGAGGCAGCAGUGGGGAAUAUUGCACAAUGGGCGCAAGCCUGAUGCAGCCAUGCCGCGUGUAUGAAGAAGGCCUUCGGGUUGUAAAGUACUUUCAGCGGGGAGGAAGGCGAUAAGGUUAAUAACCUUGUCGAUUGACGUUACCCGCAGAAGAAGCACCGGCUAACUCCGUGCCAGCAGCCGCGGUAAUACGGAGGGUGCAAGCGUUAAUCGGAAUUACUGGGCGUAAAGCGCACGCAGGCGGUCUGUCAAGUCGGAUGUGAAAUCCCCGGGCUCAACCUGGGAACUGCAUUCGAAACUGGCAGGCUAGAGUCUUGUAGAGGGGGGUAGAAUUCCAGGUGUAGCGGUGAAAUGCGUAGAGAUCUGGAGGAAUACCGGUGGCGAAGGCGGCCCCCUGGACAAAGACUGACGCUCAGGUGCGAAAGCGUGGGGAGCAAACAGGAUUAGAUACCCUGGUAGUCCACGCCGUAAACGAUGUCGACUUGGAGGUUGUGCCCUUGAGGCGUGGCUUCCGGAGCUAACGCGUUAAGUCGACCGCCUGGGGAGUACGGCCGCAAGGUUAAAACUCAAAUGAAUUGACGGGGGCCCGCACAAGCGGUGGAGCAUGUGGUUUAAUUCGAUGCAACGCGAAGAACCUUACCUACUCUUGACAUCCAGAGAACUUUCCAGAGAUGGAUUGGUGCCUUCGGGAACUCUGAGACAGGUGCUGCAUGGCUGUCGUCAGCUCGUGUUGUGAAAUGUUGGGUUAAGUCCCGCAACGAGCGCAACCCUUAUCCUUUGUUGCCAGCGGUCCGGCCGGGAACUCAAAGGAGACUGCCAGUGAUAAACUGGAGGAAGGUGGGGAUGACGUCAAGUCAUCAUGGCCCUUACGAGUAGGGCUACACACGUGCUACAAUGGCGCAUACAAAGAGAAGCGACCUCGCGAGAGCAAGCGGACCUCAUAAAGUGCGUCGUAGUCCGGAUUGGAGUCUGCAACUCGACUCCAUGAAGUCGGAAUCGCUAGUAAUCGUAGAUCAGAAUGCUACGGUGAAUACGUUCCCGGGCCUUGUACACACCGCCCGUCACACCAUGGGAGUGGGUUGCAAAAGAAGUAGGUAGCUUAACCUUCGGGAGGGCGCU
rnacentral:rRNA from 1 species